GGGGCUGGGGUUCUGGAAGACUCGGGAUGGGGGCAGAUGUAAGGGAGGACUGGACUAGUGACGCUGCUUCUUCCCCCAAACAGCCAACCCCCCCCCCCCAUUCUCAGAUUUAAUUCUUCCCAAAGGAACACACACCUCCCCUUACGACCUUUCGGUGACCACAGUGGCUGGGACCCUGGACAGCAAAGACCUAAAGGGUCUCUCCUCAACUCUGGCAGAGCCUGCUGAUGAGGUCUGAGCCCCAUCAGUGUCUGUGUCACCCCCGGGAAUGCCCCGGCUUCACCUCAGUACCAGCUUCGGUUCCUUCACCUGGGUUCCAGCAGGGGACCCCUCAGGAAGCCGCAGGGCCAAACCUGUUUUGUUGACCCACCUCUGAGACUCAGAAAAACUGAAUGACUUGCCUACAGUCAGUGAAAGAUCCAGAUCUUUCAGAGGCAGCCAGGGCACGGUGGAAAGGAGGCUUCCCCAGGAUGAAUGAUUCCAAGGAAAGCAAGUUGCGACUACUCAUUCCUACGUCUUUGACAAGACAAAAAGGACCAGGUCCUGCGGAAAUGGAACUGAAGACAUGAUGGUCUUUGAUCUCAAGAAGCUCAAGUGAUUGGAGAAAAGAGAAAAACACACGGAAUAAGUAAUCACAGUGUUAGGUGAUGAGUUCAAUGGUCAAGGUUUAUACACCGUGUUUGGGAGCAUGGUUAAGGCCCAACCACACUUACUAGCAUUUGUAUGUUGACAUGAUUAGCAACAUCAGCUGAGCUACUAUUAGCAAAGUGCCCCCCAGGUGCCAUGCUCCAUGUGUUAUAUGCAUCGCUACAUGUAAUUCUCGGACAGUCUGCCAGAUGUGUGUUAUCGAGACUUUGCCGUGAAGCUGAGGCUCAGAGAGGUUACCGACUUGUCCAAGAUCAUAGGAUAAUAUACAGUACAGUUGAAAUUCAAACCUGGAAUUAUCAGCAUCUAAGGGCAGUGCCAGUAUCUUAGUAAACAUUAAUUUAGCAGCUACACAAUGCAAAACAUUGUGUAAAACACUGCAAGGAACAGAAAGGUGAGCAAAAUGAAUAAACACGUAGAAAAUCAGUUGGGAGAAUACAUACUAAAUCAUUAAUAGAGGCUCCAAUUCAGAGUUGGGGGAAGGGGGAGUGAAAUGGGAGUUUUGGUUCUUUCUCUACAAAACUGUUAAAUGAAAAAAUUUCAUAAGCAUAUACUAAUAUAAAAAAUGAAAACAUAGGACUUGAACCAAACAAGGUACCAGACAGUAAGAAUUUCAGUGUGCCCACUCACAUACAUACAUACAUAUGAAAACAUAUUUGCAGAAGUACAGCAAAAUUAGCCUUGCAUAGAUUAGACUAUUUUAUGAUUGCAUCAGUUCCGAGCAAUACGUGGCCUAGGACAGCUAUACCAUGCAUUAUUAUAGAAAAGAAACCACUCUGUUAAGCACUGGUGAAUCCACUAAAUUUGCAUGUCUGGUGAGUGCAAUCACUCAUCCCUAAUCCCUCCUCAAAUAAGAUGCGUUUCUGGGAGCACAGGCAGUCCUCUCUACAUCACUGAGUGCCGCCUGCCCCAAUCGACUUCCCACUCAACCGCACUUCCUCCCAUAUGCUUCCCCUGUGCCCAGAGAAGCCUUGCCUUGCCCCCCUCCCCUUACUCACUUGAGUGGGUACAUUCGCAGAGCCACGUCCAUGCCUGGAGUGUAGGACAGAAAAGCGGCCAGGAUUGUCUCCUCCAGGAUCCCAAAUAUGAGGAUCUUGUUUCUGAGAGGAGAUGU